rnacentral:rRNA from 1 species
CUACGGGAGGCAGCAGUGGGGAAUCUUAGACAAUGGGCGCAAGCCUGAUCUAGCCAUGCCCGCGUGUGUGAUGAAGGUCUUAGGAUCGUAAAGCACUUUCGCCAGGGAUGAUAAUGACAGUACCUGGUAAAGAAACCCCGGCUAACUCCGUGCCAGCAGCCGCGGUAAUACGGAGGGGGUUAGCGUUGUUCGGAAUUACUGGGCGUAAAGCGUACGUAGGCGGAUCAGCAAGUAGAGGGUGAAAUCCCGGGGCUCAACCCCGGAACUGCCUUGUAAACUGUCGGUCUUGAGUUCGAGAGAGGUGAGUGGAAUUCCAAGUGUAGAGGUGAAAUUCGUAGAUAUUUGGAGGAACACCAGUGGCGAAGGCGGCUCACUGGCUCGAUACUGACGCUGAGGUACGAAAGUGUGGGGAGCAAACAGGAUUAGAUACCCUGGUAGUCCACACCGUAAACGAUGAAUGCCAGUCGUCGGGCAGUAUACUGUUCGGUGACACACCUAACGGAUUAAGCAUUCCGCCUGGGGAGUACGGUCGCAAGAUUAAAACUCAAAUGAAUUGACGGA